GGACUGUAGCUCAGUGGCAGAGCACUUGCUUGGCAUGCAUGAGGCACUGGAUUCAAUUCUCAGAACCA
rnacentral:tRNA from 1 species